UGGGAUGUGGCUCAGAGGUAAAGCACUUGCCUAGCAUGAGUGAGGCACUGGGUUCGAUCCUCAGCAUCACAU
rfam:Ictidomys tridecemlineatus contig022006, whole genome shotgun sequence.